rnacentral:rRNA from 1 species
AUUGAACGCUGGCGGCAGGCUUAACACAUGCAAGUCGAGCGGGGUGAUGGUGCUUGCACUAUCACUUAGCGGCGGACGGGUGAGUAAUGCUUAGGAAUCUGCCUAUUAGUGGGGGACAACAUCUCGAAAGGGAUGCUAAUACCGCAUACGUCCUACGGGAGAAAGCAGGGGAUCACUUGUGACCUUGCGCUAAUAGAUGAGCCUAAGUCGGAUUAGCUAGUUGGUGGGGUAAAGGCCUACCAAGGCGACGAUCUGUAGCGGGUCUGAGAGGAUGAUCCGCCACACUGGGACUGAGACACGGCCCAGACUCCUACGGGAGGCAGCAGUGGGGAAUAUUGGACAAUGGGGGGAACCCUGAUCCAGCCAUGCCGCGUGUGUGAAGAAGGCCUUAUGGUUGUAAAGCACUUUAAGCGAGGAGGAGGCUCUUUUGGUUAAUACCCAAGAUGAGUGGACGUUACUCGCAGAAUAAUCACCGGCUAACUCCGUGCCAGCAGCCGCCGUAA